rnacentral:rRNA from 1 species
CUACGGGACGCUCCAGUGAGGAAUUUUGCGCAAUGGGGGAAACCCUGACGCAGCAACGCCGCGUGAGUGAUGAAGGCCUUCGGGUCGUAAAGCUCUGUCAAGUGGGAAGAACCUACCUAUGGGUAAUAUUCAUGGGUACUGACGGUACCACUGAAGGAAGCACCGGCUAACUCCGUGCCAGCAGCCGCGGUAAUACGGGGGGUGCAAGCGUUAUUCGGAAUUAUUGGGCGUAAAGGGCGCGUAGGCGGUCUUGUUAGUCAGAUGUGAAAGCCCGGGGCUCAACCCCGGAAGUGCAUUUGAUACUGCAAGACUUGAGUAUGGGAGAGGGAAGUGGAAUUCCUGGUGUAGAGGUGAAAUUCGUAGAUAUCAGGAGGAACAUCUGUGGCGAAGGCGACUUCCUGGACCAAUACUGACGCUGAGGCGCGAAGGCGUGGGUAGCAAACAGGAUUAGAUACCCUAGUAGUC